UGCAUCUGAAGCCUGACGAGGAUGAGAACCUCCGGGGGCAAGAGGUUCGACUCGAGCGCAGCGAGAGAACGUUGCGUCAGCAACGGCCCGCAGGGCGAGCCACGCAGUGGCGAGUCAUCCUCUAUCACCGAACU
rnacentral:sRNA from 18 species